AAACUAACAAGGAUUCCCCUAGUAGCGGCGAGCGAAGCGGGAAGAGCUCAAAUUUAUAAUCUGGCACCUUCGGUGUCCGAGUUGUAAUCUCUAGAAGUGUUUUCCGCGUUGGACCGCACACAAGUCUGUUGGAAUACAGCGGCAUAGUGGUGAAACCCCCGUAUAUGGUGCGGACGCCCAGCGCUUUGUGAUACACUUUCAAUGAGUCGAGUUGUUUGGGAAUGCAGCUCAAAUUGGGUGGUAAAUUCCAUCUAAAGCUAAAUAUUGGCGAGAGACCGAUAGCGAACAAGUACCGUGAGGGAAAGAUGAAAAGCACUUUGGAAAGAGAGUUAACAGUACGUGAAAUUGUUGGAAGGGAAACGCUUGAAGUCAGACUUGCUUGCCGGAGCUUGCUUCGGUUUGCAGGCCAGCAUCAGUUUUCCGGGGUGGAUAAUGACGGUUUGAAGGUAGCAGUCUCGGCUGUGUUAUAGCUUUCCGUUGGAUACGCCCUGGGGGACUGAGGAACGCAGCGUGCUUUUUGCGAAAGACUCGUCUUUUUCACGCUUAGGAUGCUGGUGGAAUGGCUUUAAACGAC
rnacentral:rRNA from 1 species